rnacentral:rRNA from 1 species
UGAGUAACCUGCCCUUAACUCUGGGAUAAGCCUGGGAAACUGGGUCUAAUACCGGAUAUGACUCCUCAUCGCAUGGUUGGGGGUGGAAAGCUUUAUUGUGGUUUUGGAUGGACUCGCGGCCUAUCAGCUUGUUGGUGAGGUAAUGGCUUACCAAGGCGACGACGGGUAGCCGGCCUGAGAGGGUGACCGGCCACACUGGGACUGAGACACGGCCCAGACUCCUACGGGAGGCAG